GAAAUUAUACAUAUAUUCUUUAGCUCUAGGAAAUUAUAUCUAGCUGGUCCUACUGAAGGAAGUCAGAUUCACUUUUCUUCUCUCUUCUCAGUCAGAUACCAUUCAUCUCUCUGUUUUCACAUUUUUAGAACUUUUUUGGCAUCUCUUACUAGCUGCUGUCUCCUAGUUUGUUUAGCCUACUGAAGAAAGGUUAUUCUUCUCUCCACUAAGUCAGUUACUACUAAUUCAUCUGUUUUGCAGCUUCUAGAAUUUUGUAGAUAUCUCUUGUCCACUGUCAUCUCCUCUCUUAUUCUCUCUUCCCUCGUAGUUUGUGCCUCUUGCAUUCCUUUACGAUCACGUUGGUGGGAUUCCAGGAGGGAGUAGAGAGAAUGUGCGUGUCCAUGGGGCAUUUAUUGGAAAGACAAGGCAGGGGCCCAGGUAAUCAAACUGUGCAUUGUGGAAACAUGUGGUAGUCAAGAAGCCCAGAGUCCACUCCCUGCUGGCCAGAGCUUGCUGACUUCCAUUGCCCAGUCAGGACUAGUUCAAAGAAGAGCAAGGAGGAGACCACAAAUGUGCCAACAAAGAAGAGUAUAUGCCCCCUAGACUUAGCUAUAGAAAUUCAUUUAGUUUAUUCCAAAUGCUUGUAUUAGUACCUCCUCUGUGCAAGACCAGAGAACAGCCCAGCGUGCCCAGCUCCGGAGCUGCCAUUCUUAACCACUGAUUGUAUUCCAUACCAAGAGAGAUCAGAACAGAAACUUCACCUGCUACUUUUUCCUCUUGUGAGAUAUCUUAGUAGCUUCUCUUCUUGAGUUGCUCAGAGCCUGUGGCCAGAGGCCUUGUGUCCUGCCUGUGUUAACAGCCGUUUGAUAUUAAAGACUGAUGGAGGUGGAACUACUUGCUAAUCUAGGUUUUCUGGUGGUGAACUUUAGAUGAACAAUGCCCCUUUGAUCUUCGGAAGCAGGCCACAGGAUCCUGCCUGCUUGGGGCUUGCUGGGCACAGGCUGUGGAGAUCAGUUGGAGGCCCUAAAGAGUCCAGUUUCCCCAGCUGCAGGUUGGAGUAAUUUGCAUUUCAAAGGCUCUGGAUAAACUGCAAAGGAGCACAUUGGGGAAAGAUUACUUCUAAUUCCUAAUGACUCAAAAAGGCUUGGUAAUCGUUGGCCACCCAGCUGAAGCCUGCCCAAGAGUGAGUUUUAGACUGAAAUAAGAGAAGGUUUCAAACCAAACAGUCAUAAAGAAUUUACGAGAGGCAGUUCUGACUAUGAGGUCUGAAGCCAACUGUUGCCGAAACAAAACGUGGUUGGGGAAUUUGUAGGGUGAGCAUAUCAACCAAAUGAGCACACUUCUGCAAAUUCAAGAGGGUGAAAUUGUCAUGAUACGAGGCAACAGGCAGAAAUUGAAACUAAGAAGAACUGGGAAUUAUAAUUGACGUAUGAAUUUUGCUUCUUUCUAAAGGCAGUUCUGUUUGAGAGGCUAUGUGGUAUGAAAGAGUGAUGGAAUGUGGGGAUUGGAUGUGCCCUUGGAAGCCGACCACCAAUGCAGCCACCUCAUUGCCCGAUGGGGAAGCUGAGGUGCAGACUGGGGAGGGCCUAAGCUGAGGCCGCACUAAAUUUGUGCCAGAGGCAGCUCCUAACUAAUGAUCCAAGGCUAAAUGCCUUUCAAUGAUUGUUUUCUGCAAAAGAAACAAAAUCCUUUCACCAAAGGCCAUGCAGAGGCCACUAAGGCAUUCAGACAAGAAGCAGCAUGCAGAAGCAGAGAGAGACCUGUCAGAAAGCCUUGGCUUGCAUCCCAGCUUUGAUUCUGGCUUUUUGACUUGGGAGCAGUCACUUAACCACUCUGAACAUCAGUUUCUUCAUCUGUAAAGUUGGCAGAUGAAUUAUUAUUCAGAUUAUACAUUGACUUUGCUUUUGCAUCGUGGUAAUACACAGAUAACGUAAGAUUUAUCAUUUUCUCUAUUUCUAGGUGUACAGUUGAGUGACAUUAAGUGCAUUCACAUCGUUAUGCAACCAUCACCACCAUCCAUCUCCAGAACUUUUUUAUUUUCUCAAACAGAAACUCCAUACCCAUUUAAAAAACAACUUCCCAUUCUCCCCUCUCCCAAGCCACUGGCAACCAACAUUUUUGACUUUCUGUCUCUAUGAAUUUGCCUCCUCUAGGUACAUCAUAUUAGUGGAAUCAUAUAGUAUUUGCCUUUGUGUGUGUGUGUGUGUAGCUUCUUUUACUUGUCAUAAUGUCUUCAAGGUUCAUUCAUGUUAUAGCAUGUGUCAGCAUGUAAUUAGCAUGUAAUUCCUUUUGAAAGGCUGAACAAUAUUCUAUUGCAUGUACGUACCAUAUUUUGUUUAUCUAUUCAUCUGUUAAUGGACAUUUGAGUUACUUACAGCUUUUGGCUACUGUGAAUAAUGCUGCUAUGCACAUAGGUGUGUAAAUAUUUGUUUCAGUCCCUACUUUCCAUUCUGUUGUGUGUAUACACAAGAAGUAGAAUUGCUAGACCAUAUUGUUGUGCAUUGACUAUUAAGAGAUGCUUGCAGAUAGGACCUUGGGCAGGUUAUGAAAACUUUUUGAGUGUCCUUGGAAUAAUAACUCUGUUAGACCCUACCAUAAACACCAUUUACUAUAAGUGAUGAUAAAUAAGAUACAGGUUUUUUUUUUUUAUUUUUUAUUUUUAAUUUAUGUUUUAUUUUUUGAGACAAAGUCUGACUUUGUUGCCCAGGCUGGAGUGCAGUGACACAAUCUUGGCUCACUGCAACCUCUGCCUCCUGGGUUCAAGCAAUUCUUGUGCCUCAGCCUCCCCAGUAGCUGGGGUUACAGAUGCACACCACCACGCCUGGCUAGCUUUUUGUAUUUUUAGUAGAGACGGGGUUUUGCCUUGUUGCCCCAGGUGGUCGUGAACUCCUGAGCUCAAGCGAUCCACCUGCCUCAGACUCCCCAAGUGCUAGGAUUACAGGCAUGAGCCACUGUGCCCGACAGCCAGAUACAGAUUUUUAAAAAUGAGCUGGUGCUGCAGGGUUGUAAACAGGCUGGGGUAACCAAAAGCAUUUGUCCUUUUGAGUAGGUCUCAGUAGGUCUCCUCUGCUUGUGCAGAAUCCACUGUUCCAGAGAUUUCACUUCCCUGCCCAAAGUGCCCCUCACUUCCCUCCGGCAGAUUGUGCUUCUGGAAAGUUGUGUUUAGUAAUAUCUUAAACACUCAUUAUUCAAGGAACCCUGCGGUGGUUCCUUCUGUAAAAGCAAGGCUCUGUUGGUGAAGGAAAUAACAAGCUCUAAAUGACUCGUAAUAAAUUAGAGCUUUGAUAUAAAAAGCUCUGACCUACAUGUAGGACUUCACAGUUGACAGAAUUCUCUCACCUCUGCUUGUCUGUGUCAUCUGGUAUUUAUCGGGGUGAAGCCGUGAAGGGAUCCUUCUCUACAGAAGAGAACGGGUUGAGCAUUGCAGUGGAAAAUAUCACUCUGGAGACCCACGGUCCUGCCUUCAAAUUCCUUCCUUUCUACCAACUAUGCAAUCUUGGCUAAGUUACAUCUCCUGUCUGGGCCUCGGCUUUCUUAGCAGGAGAAUGGAGACAGUAGCUACCUCAUGGGGCUGCUGGGAGGGGUGCCAAGAAGGCUGUUCUGCAAAAUCAGGAGCAAGAUGUUAAUAUGAAAUCUCAGAAAUCAUAUUCUACAAGUAACUGUUUUUGUGAGAGUGUCAGACCAGCAAAAAUAAAGUUAUUUUUCCUGCAGAAAUGUUAGUAAUAAAGGUCUUUUCAUUACCAUACAUUUCUAGCUUUCAAACUACAUCCCUAAAGAUUACAUUGAGCUCCCACUUGCAAGCUAGGGCCUGUUCUUAAUAACAAGAAAGUAGAAAAUUCUACAAGGAGCAAGAUUUUUCAAAAGUGGAAAUUGUGAUCAGUAUAAUGUAAAUUGUUCCCUAAGCAAUGGCUGCCUAUAUAAUCUACAAGAUAAAAACUGGAAGUGGUUUUCUCUAGCGAGGGUGGCGGGGGGCUGUCCCUGCCCCACAGGAAUCAGGAUAACUGCCCUGCCAUGUGUUCAG
rnacentral:lncRNA from 1 species